CCCUUAGAUGUCCUGGGCCGCACGCGCGCUACACUGAUGCAUUCAACGAGUAUUUCCUUGGCCGAGAGGCCUGGGCAAUCUUUUAAACCUGCAUCGUGAUAGGGAUAGAUUAUUGCAAUUAUUAAUCUUGAACGAGGAAUUCCUAGUAAACGCAAAUCAUCAAUUUGCAUUGAUUACGUCCCUGCCCUUUGUACACACCGCCCGUCGCACCUACCGAUUGAAUGGUCCGGUGAAAUCUCGGGAUUGUGGCCAGUUCACUUUAUUGGGAGUUGGCUGCGAGAACUUGCCUAAACCUUAUCAUUUAGAGGAAGGUGAAGUCGUAACA
rnacentral:rRNA from 1 species